rnacentral:rRNA from 1 species
AUUGAACGCUGGCGGCAUGCCUUACACAUGCAAGUCGAACGGCCGCACGGGUUCUUGCCCCUGGUGGCGUUUGGGGCACAGGUGUGUAUUACAUCGGAACAUGUUCCGUAGAGGGGGAGAAUCAGGCGAAAGCCCCAUUAAUACCGCAUACGAACAUCGGAAGACAGCGGGGGCCCAAGUGGCAGCCCGUUAUCCGGUUACUCGUAGCUUGAUUAGCUAGUUGGUGGGGUAAAGGCCUACCAAGGCCACGACCAGUAGCCGGUCUGAGAGGGAGACCAGCCACACUGGAACGGAGACACGGUCCAGACUCCUACGGGAGGCAGCAGUAGGGAAUUUUGGACAAUGGGCGAAAGCCUGAUCCAGCAAUGCCGCGUGUGUGAUGAAGGUCUUCGGAUUGUAAAGCACUUUUGUCCGGAAAGAAAAUCUUGGCUCUAAUACAGGCGGAGCAUGACGGUACCGAAAGAAAAAGCACCGGCUAACUACGUG